UGGGGAAUAUUGGACAAUGGGCGCAAGCCUGAUCCAGCCAUGCCGCGUGAGUGAUGAAGGCCUUAGGGUUGUAAAGCUCUUUCAGUGGGGAAGAUAAUGACGGUACCCACAGAAGAAGCCCCGGCUAACUUCGUGCCAGCAGCCGCGGUAAUACGAAGGGGGCUAGCGUUGUUCGGAUUUACUGGGCGUAAAGCGCACGUAGGCGGAUUGUUAAGUCAGGGGUGAAAUCCUGGAGCUCAACUCCAGAACUGCCUUUGAUACUGGCAAUCUCGAGUCCGGAAGAGGUAAGUGGAACUCCUAGUGUAGAGGUGGAAUUCGUAGAUAUUAGGAAGAACACCAGUGGCGAAGGCGGCUUACUGGUCCGGAACUGACGCUGAGGUGCGAAAGCGUGGGGAGCAAACA
rnacentral:rRNA from 1 species